rnacentral:rRNA from 1 species
CCUACGGGAGGCAGCAGUGAGGAAUAUUGGACAAUGGGCGCAAGCCUGAUCCAGCCACGCCGCGUGCAGGAUGACGGUCCUAUGGAUUGUAAACUGCUUUUGUACAGGAAGAAACCCUUUCACGUGUGGAAGAUUGACGGUACUGUAAGAAUAAGGAUCGGCUAACUCCGUGCCAGCAGCCGCGGUAAUACGGAGGAUCCAAGCGUUAUCCGGAAUCAUUGGGUUUAAAGGGUCCGUAGGCGGUUUAGUAAGUCAGUGGUGAAAGCCCAUCGCUCAACGGUGGAACGGCCAUUGAUACUGCUAGACUUGAAUUAUUAGGAAGUAACUAGAAUAUGUAGUGUAGCGGUGAAAUGCUUAGAGAUUACAUGGAAUACCAAUUGCGAAGGCAGGUUACUACUAAUGGAUUGACGCUGAUGGACGAAAGCGUGGGUAGCGAACAGGAUUAGAUACCCUGGUAGUCCACGCCGUAAACGAUGGAUACUAGCUGUUGGGCGCAAGUUCAGUGGCUAAGCGAAAGUGAUAAGUAUCCCACCUGGGGAGUACGUUCGCAAGAAUGAAACUCAAAGGAAUUGACGGCUGAGACAGCGAGACGACGACGAGGGAGGAGG